GGGGGGGGCAAGCGUUGUUCGGAAUUACUGGGCGUAAAGGGCGCGUAGGCGGCCUACUAAGUCGGACGUGAAAUCCCUCGGCUCAACCGAGGAACUGCGUCCGAUACUGGCAGGCUGGAAUCCGGGAGAGGGAUGUGGAAUUCCAGGUGUAGCGGUGAAAUGCGUAGAUAUCUGGAGGAACACCGGUGGCGAAGGCGGCAUCCUGGACCGGUAUUGACGCUGAUGCGCGAAAGCUAGGGGAGCAAACGGGAUUAGAUACCCCGGUAGUCCUAGCCCUAAACGAUGAGUGCUUGGUGUGGCGGGUAUCGAUCCCUGCCGUGCCGAAGCUAACGCAUUAAGCACUCCGCCUGGGGAGUACGGUCGCAAGGCUGAA
rnacentral:rRNA from 1 species